GCCCCCGUAGCUAAAAGGAUUAGCAUGACGCUACGAACGUCAGUAAUGGAGGUUCGAGUCCUCUCGGGGGUGCAA
rnacentral:tRNA from 1 species